GGGAUUGCCCUAGUAACGGCGAGUGAAGCGGCAAUAGCUCAAAUUUGAAAGCUGGCCUUCUGGUCCGCAUUGUUUUGGGGGUCCGAGUUGUAAUUUGCAGAGGGUGCUUUGGCAUAGGCGGCGGUCUAAGUUCCUUGGAACAGGACAUCGCAGAGGGUGAGAAUCCCGUACGUGGGCGCCUGCCUUUGCCGUGUAAAGCCCCUUCGACGAGUCGAGUUGUUUGGGAAUGCAGCUCUAAAUGGGAGGUAAAUUUCUUCUAAAGCUAAAUACCGGCCAGAGACCGAUAGCGCACAAGUAGAGUGAUCGAAAGAUGAAAAGUACUUUGGAAAGAGAGUUAAAAAGCACGUGAAAUUGUUGAAAGGGAAGCGCUUGCAGCCAGACUUGCCCGUAGUUGCUCACCCGGGCUUUUGCCCGGGGCACUCUUCUGCGGGCAGGCCAGCAUCAGUUUGGGCGGUCGGAUAAAGGCCUCUGUCACGUAUCUCCCUUCGGGGUGACCUUAUAGGGGAGGCGCAAUGCAACCAGCCCGGACUGAGGUCCGCGCUUCGGCUAGGAUGCUGGCGUAAUGGCGGUAAGCGGCCCGUCUUGAAACACGGACCAAGGAGUCUAACAUCUAUGCGAGUGUUUGGGUGUCAAGCCCGGGCGCGCAAUGAAAGUGAACGGAGGUGGGAACCCCUCGGGGUGCACCAUCGACCGAUCCUGAAGUCUUCGGAUGGAUUUGAGUAAGAGCAUAGCUGUUGGGACCCGAAAGAUGGUGAACUAUGCUUGAAUAGGGUGAAGCCAGAGGAAACUCUGGUGGAGGCUCGCAGCGGUUCUGACGUGCAAAUCGAUCGUCAAAUUUGGCAUAGGGGCGAAAGACUAAUCGAACCAU
rnacentral:rRNA from 1 species